CGAUAUACCUCAUUCCGUGUCUUUUUUGUCUUCGGCACCUUCAGUGGUAUUGUGCUCUAGUGCGGCAGGAUGAGUUUUCUUGUUCGAACGGAGGAGGCUGUAAAGAAGCUCGUGUCCUUUAUUGCCUCAGAGACCGCCGCGCAGACGUCAGGCAACGACGUAGAUGAUCUUUUCGCGCCGGUGCGAGAGAGCAACAACGUGCCUGUUGAUGUUCAAAUUGCCUUUCUCGCUGCUCCUGCAGCGCACCGUGUUCCACUGUACUUCGUGGUGCCGCACGAAGUUGUCAGCGGAACUCUGUGCUUGAUCACACCGCCACCGCAGCGGAAGUAUAAGGACCUAGUUUUCGCUCUGAGCGAGGACGGCGAUGCAGUUGCUAAGCGUGUGAGGCGCGUUAUUGAUAGCAAGAAACUCGCGGCCAAGGUGGCAGACCCUGUGGCGGUGCGUUCGUUUGCCAAGAGCUACGACCACUUCAUUGUGUACGGGCUCACCAAGUACCCGCGGCAGCUGACAGGAGAGUUUCUUGAGCACCGCAAGGUUCCCGCAUGGGUGAGCAGCAAAGGCAAGUUUCCGGAAAAGCUUCGAAAGGCGGUGCACACUGUCGUGGUGACGCGCCGUGGCGACAACCAGGUCACGUGCCGCGUGGGACACACCGGGCUCUCGACCCAGGAAAUUGUCGAGAACAUUAUAGCCUUCUUGGACAAGUUUGUCAAGCACCCUGACGCAGUGCCGCUCAAGAACAUUCUUCACAUCCGUGUUGCGGCCACAAGUACAAAUAGCAAGCGCGUGGGCUUGCCCAUAUUUGGUCACGCUUUCCAGUUUAAGCCCGUGACGGAGUCGGCAGAGUCGCCGCGGAAGCGUAGAAAAGUGGAGGCGUGACUGUGUGGCGAGAAGUACUAGAAGAUGGCGAGGGAGGACUCUUGCUGCGAUGCUGAAUUAUUCGCCCGUGCUUUUUGGAGUACAUUGGUCGCACGUCUCCGUGGAUCCUGAACCGGUGGCGAUGGCGGUGACGCUCAGUUUUGGUCUCGACAACAGUCUUCACAGUUGUCAUCGUGCUCUGCAGUGUAGAUCCGUGCUCGGAAACAGAGGCAGUAGUUGUUAUGGGGCUAAACUGUUUAAUUGAUUCCUAAUCCAUCUCUAAAGGUGCUCGCUUAACAUGCAUGCAUGCCCAUGAUCACAUCGACGAACCAUUUCACUUCAUGUGUGAUUUUUUGUGUUCCCUGUCUCUUAGG
rnacentral:misc_RNA from 1 species